ensembl:lncRNA novel transcript, antisense to RNF213
AAGGGGAGGUAUUGCCAAAGAGUUUAGGAACGCCACACAGUGCGCCAUCUGAAAACUUUCUCCACACUUCCACGCAACCCCAAAGGCUGAUUUUACCUCCAAGAGCCUCCCGGACCCAGCAGAUGAACUCCUUUCUCAGGGACAGAGCCUGCAGCCCCUUGCACCGGGCCUCGCUGAUGUCCUGGAGCAGCUUUUUGGCCUGGAUGAGCUCCUGGUUGAUCUGGUCCAGUGUUUCACGGCGAAAGUCGUCGAAGUUAUCAGUCUGCAAGAAAAAGCUCUACUGUGGACUGGAACUCAUUAACCAGAACCCCAGAAUCUGUGAGCUGCAAGCACUGACCGUCCCAGCAGCCCCACCCUCCCUCAAUGCCUAGAUUUGCCACUGCUGUGACAACAGGCACACCAAGCUCUUACCCCUGAAUUGGAUGAUCAAACCCCCAUGGCUGUUUCUCCCUGAUCAAGAUGAACUGUGAUUCCUGGGAACCUGAUAUUCUGCUAAGCAUUUUAAUAAAGUGGAUUUUAAAAUCAA